rnacentral:rRNA from 1 species
UAACACCUGGAAACAAGAUGCUAAUACCGGAUAACAACAGAUGAUGCCUAUCAACUGUUUAAAGAUGGUUCUGCUAUCACUCUUGGAUGGACCUGCGGUGCAUUAGCUAGUUGGUAGGGUAACGGCCUACCAAGGCGAUGAUGCAUAGCCGAGUUGAGAGACUGAUCGGCCACAUUGGGACUGAGACACGGCCCAAACUCCUACGGGAGGCAGCAGCC